UACGAAGGGGGCUAGCGUUGCUCGGAUUGACUGGGCGUAAAGGGCGCGUAGGCGGUUCGUACAGUCAGACGUGAAAUUCCUGGGCUCAACCUGGGGGCUGCGUUUGAUACGUGCGGACUUGAGUGCGGAAGAGGGUCGUGGAAUUCCCAGUGUAGAGGUGAAAUGCGUAGAUAUCGUAAGGAAGACCAGUGGCGAAGGCGGGUCUCUGGACAGUUCCCGACGCUGAGACACGAAGGCCAGGGGAGCAAACGGG
rnacentral:rRNA from 1 species